UACGGGGGGGGCAAGCGUUGUUCGGAAUUACUGGGCGUAAAGGGCUCGUAGGUGGCCAACUAAGUCAGACGUGAAAUCCCUCGGCUUAACCGGGGAACUGCGUCUGAUACUGGAUGGCUUGAGAUUGGGAGGGGGACGCGGAAUUCCAGGUGUAGCGGUGAAAUGCGUAGAUAUCUGGAGGAACACCGGUGGCGAAGGCGGCGUCCUGGACCAACACUGACACUGAGGAGCGAAAGCCAGGGGAGCAAACGGG
rnacentral:rRNA from 1 species